UUUCCAGAACUCUUCUGAUAUCCAUGUUGUGAAGACGAAUGGUGUUUCCAUCUAGAUCUCUGGUGUAUCCAUGUUCAUCUCUAUAUACGCCAUACUCAUCUUUCUCCUCCCAGUAGAAUUUCCUGGUACCGUGGGAAUCAAAGGCUCUUCUGCCGAAUUCUGGCUGUUUGUCGACCGAUGUUGGGACGUCAAUGUCGAUCGAUGGUCGAAUGGGAUUGCGAGACCUUAGUUUGAAACUUUUGUCUAUGCCACCAGCUGCGUCAUAGAUCUCGUUUGUAUCCUUUUGUUGGUAUUCUGGAAUGUUGCGUUGAUGUACGAACAAAUUUUCUGCUCCACUGGCUGUCUAAAAGAUGUCUGCAAUAUCUUUUCGAGAUACAUUCAGUAUACGUCCGUCUAUUGCUCUUGCGUGGCCAUCUGGGUCCCUGAAAAUACCAAAUUCGUCUGGAGUUAGAUACUCGUUAUUAAAUUUAUCUUUUUCGCUUACAGUAGUUUUUGGUUUAUAGCGGAUGUCGAUCGAUGUUGUAUGUGCAAGGUCGAUCGAUGUUGAAGGAGUUAUGUCGAUCGAUGGACGGCACGCUCUGCCGAUCGGAUGCAUGUAUCGUGUUCUUCCCCAAGCAUAUUCUGAUCGAUGUUGAGCUGUUUCAUCUCAUCUUUGCAUGUUGAGAAGUUCCUCAUAUGUGAAACCUUCAUGUAGUUCAUCUGUUCCUGG
rnacentral:lncRNA from 1 species